AGAGAUGUAGCUUAGUGGUAAAGCACUUACCUAAUAUGUGUGAGGCCCUAGGUUCAAUUCCUAGCACUG
rnacentral:tRNA from 1 species